GAUGAACGCUGGCGGCGCGCCUAACACAUGCAAGUCGAACGAUUAAAGCACCUUCGGGUGUGUAUAAAGUGGCGAACGGCUGAGUAACACGUGGGCAACCUGCCCCUUUCAUUGGGAUAGCCACGGGAAACCGUGGAUAAUACCGAAUACUUCGAGACUUCCGCAUGGAAGACUCGAGAAAGCUCCGGCGGAGAGGGAUGGGCCCGCGGCCUGUUAGCUUGUUGGUGGGGUAACGGCCUACCAAGGCAAUGAUGGGUAGCUGGGUUGAGAGGCCGACCAGCCAGAUUGGGACUGAGACACGGCCCAGACUCCUACGGGAGGCAGCAGUGGGGAAUCUUGCACAAUGGGCGGAAGCCUGAUGCAGCGACGCCGCGUGCGGGAUGAAGGCCUUCGGGUUGUAAACCGCUUUCAGCAGGGACGAGGCGAAAGUGACGGUACCUGCAGAAGAAGCCCCGGCUAACUACGUG
rnacentral:rRNA from 1 species